rnacentral:rRNA from 1 species
UGGGGAAUAUUGGACAAUGGGGGGAACCCUGAUCCAGCCAUGCCGCGUGUGUGAAGAAGGCCUUAUGGUUGUAAAGCACUUUAAGCGAGGAGGAGGGUACUGGUAUUAAUACUACCAGGUACUGGACGUUACUCGCAGAAUAAGCACCGGCUAACUCUGUGCCAGCAGCCGCGGUAAUACAGAGGGUGCGAGCGUUAAUCGGAUUUACUGGGCGUAAAGCGUGCGUAGGCGGCUAAUUGAGUCGGAUGUGAAAUCCCCGAGCUUAACUUGGGAAUUGCAUUCGAUACUGGUUAGCUAGAGUGUGGGAGAGGAUGGUAGAAUUCCAGGUGUAGCGGUGAAAUGCGUAGAGAUCUGGAGGAAUACCGAUGUCGAAGGCAGCCAUCUGGCCUAACACUGACGCUGAGGUACGAAAGCAUGGGGAGCAAACAGG